rnacentral:rRNA from 1 species
GACGAACGCUGGCGGCGUGCUUAACACAUGCAAGUCGAACGGAAAGGCCCUGCUCUUGCUGGGUGCUCGAGUGGCGAACGGGUGUGUAAAACGUGAGUAUACUGCCCUUGACUUUGUGAUAACUUCAGGAAACUGCGGCUAAUAUCGGAUAGGAGCUCCUGCUGCACGGGGGGGGUUGGAAAGAUUCGGCGGUUGGGGAUGGUCUCGCUGCUUAUCAGCUGGUUGGUCGGGUAGGGGCGUACGAAGGCUUUGAAGGGUAGCCGGCCUGGGAGGGUGACCGGCCACAUGGGGACUGAGAUACGGCCCAGGCUGCUACGGGAGGCAGCAGUGGGGAAUAUUGCGCAACGGGCGCAAGCCUGAUGCAGCAACGCCGCGUGCGGGAUGACGGCCUUCGGGUUGUAAACAGCUUUCGCCGGUGACGAAGCGUGAGUGACGGUAAUGGGUAAAGAAGCACCGGCUAACUACGUG